CAGUCGCCGCGGUAAUACAGAGGGUGCGAGCGUUAAUCGGAUUUACUGGGCGUAAAGCGUGCGUAGGCGGCUUUUUAAGUCGGAUGUGAAAUCCCCGAGCUUAACUUGGGAAUUGCAUUCGAUACUGGGAAGCUAGAGUAUGGGAGAGGAUGGUAGAAUUCCAGGUGUAGCGGUGAAAUGCGUAGAGAUCUGGAGGAAUACCGAUGGCGAAGGCAGCCAUCUGGCCUAAUACUGACGCUGAGGUACGAAAGCAUGGGGAGCAAACAGGAUUAGAUACCCCGGUAGUCCCUGUCUCUUAUAC
rnacentral:rRNA from 1 species